UACGAAGGGGGCUAGCGUUGCUCGGAAUGACUGGGCGUAAAGGGCGCGUAGGCGGUGGACACAGUCAGGCGUGAAAUUCCUGGGCUCAACCUGGGGGCUGCGUUUGAUACGUGUUUGCUAGAGUGGGGAAGAGGGUCGUGGAAUUCCCAGUGUAGAGGUGAAAUUCGUAGAUAUUGGGAAGAACACCGGUGGCGAAGGCGGCGACCUGGUCCUUGACUGACGCUGAGGCGCGAAAGCGUGGGGAGCGAACAGG
rnacentral:rRNA from 1 species